UGAUUCCUAUUUGUUUUUUUAUUAGUGAAACAUCUUUUCAUUUGAUAUGAAAGUUUUGCUGUUCUCAAUAUCCUGUUUUUGGUUUGUUAGAUGCUAUGCUCGUCUUCACCCAAGGGCUGUGAACUGCCGCAAGAAAAAGUGUGGCCACAGUAAUCAGUUGAGGCCAAAGAAGAAGAUCAAGUAAAUCUUGGUUGAUGUUGUCGGUCUCUUGUUCGUUGUGGAUUUGGGACUGGACUGGUUUGUUGAUUUAUAUACCUGUCGUUAAUUGUCUUUGGUUUGGUUUUAUUAAUGUGACAUGUUUUGGUGGAUAUUUUUGUAGUGGUCAGUUAUAUUGCUAUGAUGACGACAUUAAAUUAUGCUUC